rnacentral:rRNA from 1 species
UGGGGAAUAUUGGACAAUGGGGGCAACCCUGAUCCAGCCAUGCCGCGUGAAUGAUGAAGGCCUUCGGGUUGUAAAGUUCUUUUGGUGGGGACGAUGAUGACGGUACCCACAGAAUAAGCUCCGGCUAACUUCGUGCCAGCAGCCGCGGUAAUACGAAGGGAGCUAGCGUUGUUCGGAAUUACUGGGUUUAAAGGGUGCGUAGGCGGUUUGAUAAGUUAGAGGUGAAAUACCGGUGCUUAACACCGGAACUGCCUCUAAUACUGUUGAACUAGAGAGUAGUUGUGGUAGGCGGAAUGUAUGGUGUAGCGGUGAAAUGCUUAGAGAUCAUACAGAACACCGAUUGCGAAGGCAGCUUACCAAACUAUAUCUGACGUUGAUGCACGAAAGCGUGGGGAGCAAACA